UACAGAGGUCCCAAGCGUUGUUCGGAUUCAUUGGGCGUAAAGGGUGCGUAGGUGGCGCGCUAAGUCAGGUGUGAAAUUUCGGAGCUUAACUCCGAAACUGCAUUUGAUACUGGCGUGCUUUGAGGACUGGAGAGGAGACUGGAAUUUACGGUGUAGCAGUGAAAUGCGUAGAGAUCGUAAGGAAGACCAGUGGCGAAGGCGGGUCUCUGGGCCGAUACUGACGCUGAGGAGCGAAAGCGUGGGGAGCGAACAGG
rnacentral:rRNA from 1 species